AGGAUUGAUCCUACAAAGGACACGAAAAGGUCCAAGGAACCUAGGAGCAAAUUUCAUGCUAGGGACUUUGAGCCUGAUGUUACGAGAAGAUAACCAAACCCUCUCACCCACUUGGUAAACAGGGUUGGCACCUCGAUGUUUAUCAGCAAAAUGCAUGAAACGGUCAUCAGCAGUACCCAGAGCAGAUUGAACUUUAACCCAGGUAUCACGGAUGGAAGCCAGAAGGUCAUCCAAAGCAGGAAUAGCCGUGUCAGAAAAAACUGCCGGUAGGACAGUAGGAUGCCGGCCAUUAUUAACAAAAAAUGGACUAUGCCCAGAGGAGGGUCAGCAUUGUUCCUAGCAAACCGGGCCAUGGUAAUAAUUCGGACCAAUUGUCUUGAAUGCUAUUAACGAAACAACGCAAGUAUAACUUCAAAGACUGGUUAACCCUCUCAGCUGUGCCAUUAGUGUGGGGGUGGUAAGAGGAUGAAAAAGACAAUUCAAUCCCCAAUUGCUUAUUGAAAGCCCUCCAAAACUGGGAUACAAACUGAGAACAUCUAUCAGAUACAAUAUUGUGAGGAAUGCCAUGCAGA